GCCUCGGUAGCUCGGUGGUUAGCUCGUCGACCUAGAAACCCGGGGCUCGCGGGUUCGAACCUCCGCCUCGGAUG